rnacentral:rRNA from 1 species
CGGGUGAGUAAUACAUCGGAACGUGUCUUCUAGUGGGGGAUAACUGCCCGAAAGGGCGAGCUAAUACCGCAUGAGACCUGAGGGUGAAAGCGGGGAUCGCAAGACCUCGCGCUGGAAGAGCGGCCGAUGUCCGAUUAGCUAGUUGGUGAGGUAAAGGCUCACCAAGGCGACGAUCGGUAGCUGGUCUGAGAGGACGACCAGCCACACUGGGACUGAGACACGGCCCAG